GAAUGGAAGUGUGGUUGUAUUCUGGUAAAAAAUAAACAACGGAGAAAAACGUCUGAUAAUAAAGAGGAGAGUACUUCCCUCCUGGUCCAGUGGGUAAGAAUUCAUCUGCCAGUGGAGGGGACAUGGGUUUGAUCACUGGUCCGGAAAGAUUCCAUAUGCUGUGGAACAAGUAAGCCCGGAUGCUGCAACUAUUGAAGGCUGUGUGCUCUAGAGCCCAUGAUCUGAAACAAGAGAAACCACCGCAAUGAGAAACCCGCACACCACAUCUAGAGAGUAGCCCCACUCGCGGCAACUAGGGAAAGCCUGUGCCCAGCAGUGAAGACCAGCGCAGCCAAAAAUAAAUAAAAAAGAAAAAAAAGGAUAUAGGGGAGAGAAUUGCUAGAUUGUUUUCCUGAGAAGGAUGGGAGCUAGUGCCCAGAGGGAGGCAAGGACUUAAAAAAAAAAAAACAAACAGGCAGUUUAUUCCUGAUAACGGGGGAAGUGUAGGGCCUUAGUAGAGGCAAGUGUUACUGGCCCUCCAGAUUCUGUCCCCAGGAAAGGUCCUUCUGCUGGUGUCCUCAGAGCCAACAGAAGCAAAGGAAACCUUUGUUGUUUGCUCAAAGGACAGAGAGACGUGCUCAGGCUCUAAGUUGGGGGUCCCCAAACUCGGGGAUUGAAUGCCUGAUCUGAGGUGGAGCUGAGGUAACAGUAAUAGAGCCAAUGGGCACGGUUAAUGCAAUGCACGUGUGAAUCAUCCUGAAACCACUCCCCACCCACAUGUCCUUGGAAAAUGUGUCUUCCUUAGACCUGGACCCUGGUGCUGAAAAGUCGGGGACCACUGCUCUAGAGCGCAUGCGUCCCCUGAAGGCCGCAGUGGGGGCCGCUUGACAAAGCGCGGGUUUGCAGCCUAAGGAAGGGUCGGAGUUCUCGGCGCAGCUGCAGUCAGCUCCCGUCUCGCGAGACUGAAGCGCCUGGUGCGGCAUCUCUGCAAAUGGCCGCGCCCUGCGGAGCUGAGGCCUGGCCAUAGCCAUUUCACGCCAGGAGCUCAGGUGUGAAGCCCCGGCGUGAGGCUCUGCAUGUGGCAUCCUAUGAGCAAGCAAAGCUAGACCCUGCACAAAGGAAAAGGGAAAAAAAAAGAGAGACUUUAUGACCCAGAUUCUACUUGUAUUUCCUGAGAAUUGUUGAUGAGCUUUGGAGGUGCCACAAAUAAGGUGACUCAGUGAUAAAGAAUCUGUCUGCCAGUGAAGGAGACACGAGAGACGUGGAUUCGAUCCCUGGCUUGGGAAGAUCGGCUGGAGGUGGAAACCGCAACCCACUCCAGCAUUCUUGCCUGGGAAAUCCCAUGGACAGAGGAGCCUGGCAGUCUGCAGUCCACGGGAUCGCUGAGUGGAACACUUCUGAGCGACGGAGCAUGUGCAUCCACUUAUCCCCUUUCAUUAUUUGCAGGGUUAGGACAGUCUUAAGGAGUCGUGUCCGACUCUUUGUGACGCCGUGGACUGUAGCUGCCAGGCUCCUCUGUCCAUGGGAUUCUCCAGGCAAGAACACUGGAGUGGGCUGCCAUUUCCUUCUCCAAAAUUAAACAUAUAGACUAGAAUAAUUGCCAUUGCAGUUGUACUUUAAACUAGGGUUAACUAACUGAUAAAUUAUUUUUAAUGCCUGCACUUGCUAUUGGGGAAUAAUAACUCUGGUUUUAAAUUUAUAGAACAUUCUCUGUUUCUUUAUAUAG
ensembl:lncRNA